rnacentral:rRNA from 1 species
AUUGAACGCUGCGGCAGGCUUAACACAUGCAAGUCGAACGAGCGGCGGACGGGUGAGUAAUGCUUAGGAAUCGGCCACUUAGUGGGGGACAACAACUCGAAAGGGAUGCGAAUACUGCUUACUAAUAGCUGCGCCUAAGUCGGAUUAGCUAGUUGGUGGGGUAAAGGCCUACCAAGGCGACGACCUGUAGCGGGUCUGAGAGGGAGAUCCGACACACGGGGACUGGGACACGGCCCAGACUCCUACGGGAAGCAGCAGUGGGGAAUAUUGGACAAUGGGGGGAACCCUGAGCCAGCCAUGCCGCGUGUGUGAAGAAGGCCUUAUGGUUGUAAAGCACUUUAAGCGAGGAGGCGUUACUCGCAGAAUAAGCACCGGCUAACUCUGUGCCAGCAGCCGCGGUAAUUC